rnacentral:rRNA from 1 species
UACGUAGGGUGCAAGCGUUGUCCGGAAUUAUUGGGCGUAAAGAGCUCGUAGGCGGUCUGUCGCGUCUGCUGUGAAAACUCAGGGCUUAACCCUGAGCUUGCAGUGGGUACGGGCAGACUAGAGUGCGGUAGGGGAGACUGGAAUUCCUGGUGUAGCGGUGAAAUGCGCAGAUAUCAGGAGGAACACCGGUGGCGAAGGCGGGUCUCUGGGCCGUAACUGACGCUGAGGAGCGAAAAGCAUGGG